CAUCGACAUCGCAGUAGUUAGUGUAUUUAAUUUCCUCAUUUUUAUCUUUCCGCAGUUAGUCGAAGUUGAGAAUAGGUUGAUCCGAAUGGUCUUCAUAUAAGGCUGAAUAAAAGGUUGGAACUUCUCAACUAUCUUUUCAAAAUCAGCAGAUCAGCAGCACCUCCUCGCAGUCGGCGAUUGACGAAUAAUCGCAGACAGCAGGACCGGAAGCUAGUUCCAGAACCAUAGGCGGAGAACUUUUGCUGACAGCUGCGAAUCUCGGACCACUUAGAACAUUCUUGAGAGGUACCAAUGGAAUCGAUAAAUUCUACAGCAGCCGUCUCAGUUUUGCCAUUAAGAUCUAUUGGCAUACUCGAGCUAUUGAGGAGAUGGCAGAUUCCUAUUCUACAAACCUCAACUCCGCAAGGCCGUAGUCUGUUGUUGAAACUUCCAAUCAGACGGAAAUUGAUCACAUUUCCGGACAACUCUAAAGGGAAAAAGGAGAAAAAUAAUUGACUGGAAAAGGGAAAGGAAAAAAUAGGCAACUCAAACGGAACGUGGGCGCUGUCAUUUCUUUUUGUACCAAGAACUAAUUCCUAGCUGCUACAAAAAUAACAUCCGGAUUUCAGAUUUUUUAAUUGAAUGGAUACGGUCAGUCGCAACUAUUUAAUCGGAUCUUUCAGCAUAUCUGCGUCCGGGAGAGUUGCCUUCCGCCAGCUGUAACCAGUUCGCUGACACGUAGCUGCUGCUGAAGGAUUUUC